GACAGAGGUCCCGAGCGUUAGGCGGAAUCACUGGGCUUAAAGCGUGUGUAGGCGGAGUUCUAAGUACCUUGUGAAAUCCCACGGCUCAACCGUGGAACUGCUUGGUAUACUGGUUCUCUUGAGCCACCUAGGGGCAACCGGAACAAACGGUGGAGCGGUGAAAUGCGUAGAUAUCAUUUGGAACGCCAAUGGUGAAAACAGGUAGCUGGGGCUGUGCUGACGCUGAGACACGAAAGCCAGGGGAGCAAACGGG
rnacentral:rRNA from 1 species